rnacentral:rRNA from 1 species
GGGCCCGCACAAGUGGUGGAGCAUGUGGUUUAAUUCGAUGCAACGCGAAAACCUUACCUAUACUUGACAUACUUGGAAUGCUUUGUAAUGAAGCAGUGCCUUCGGGAGCCAAGAUACAGGUGCUGCAUGGCUGUCGUCAGCUCGUGUCGUGAGAUGUUCCGUUAAGUCGGAUAACGAGCGCAACCCUUACCCUUAUUUGCCAGCGAUUCGGUCGGGAACUAUAAGGGGACUGCCGGUGAUAAACCGGAGGAAGGUGAGGACGACGUCAAGUCAUCAUGGCCCUUACGAGUAGGGCUACACACGUGCUACAAUGGGAAAUACAGACGGACGCUAAGCCGCGAGGUGGUGCUAAUCCUAGAAAGUUUCUCGUAGUCCGGAUUGGAGUCUGCAACUCGACUCCAUGAAGUCGGAAUC